rnacentral:lncRNA from 1 species
AAAUAAUUAUGUAUUUUGCUACAUUAAGAUCAAACAUUUUUUAAUAUUCUACCAUCCUUUUCUUUUUUUUUUUGGAAAAUAACCUAUUCUUUCCUGAUGUACUCUUCUUCUGCUGUGCUAGUUUUGCUUGUUUGUCAGUUUUUCAUUUGAGAUUAUUUUGGCAUCAAUAUUCACAAAUGAAAAUGAGACUGGGCUCUAGUUAACUCUGUGUUAUACUAUAUUAGAAACAUUCUGAUAUCAAUGUUAGGUGUCACUCACAAGCUAACUAAAUCUUUUUCUUCUCUUCUUUGGAGUGGUGUAUAUAACAUUGCAAUCUAUUUAAAGGUUUUCGUAAAUUUCUGGGACAAAUGUCUUUUGGGGCAGUCCAGGGCAUAAGUACAUUCCUGAAAUUUUAACUUUUCAUUAGUAAUUGUUCUGGUUUGAUUUGUUUCUUAGAUUGAUGUUUGGAAAAUCACGCUGAAAAUUUUAAAGUCCUAUCACAUUCCCAGGUGAAUCUGUCUUGGUGUAACAAGGGUUUAUUUCCUAUUUCUUUGGUGUAUGCUUUUCUCUGAGUAUGUCCUAUUCAUAGUUUCCUAUUUUGUUUAAUUGCACUUCCUCCUUUAUUUUUUUUUAUUACAUUAAUGGUUUAUCUGUUUAUUG